ACCUGGGUGGCUCAGUCAGUUGAGCAUCCGACUUCGGAUCGGGUCAUGAUCUUGAGGUUUGUGAGUUUGAGCCUCGUAUCAGGCU
rnacentral:tRNA from 1 species